rnacentral:rRNA from 1 species
GACGAACGCUGGCGGCGUGCUUAACACAUGCAAGUCGAACGGUAAGGCCCUUCGGGGUACACGAGUGGCGAACGAGUGAGUAACACGUGGGUGAUCUGCCCUGCACUUCGGGAUAAGCCUGGGAAACUGGGUCUAAUACCGGAUAGGACUCCUGGCUUCAUGGUUGGGGGUGGAAAGCUUUUGCGGUGUGGGAUGGGCCCGCGGCCUAUCAGCUUGUUGGUGGGGUAAUGGCCUACCAAGGCGACGACGGGUAGCCGGCCUGAGAGGGUGACCGGUAACACUGGGACUGAGAGACGGCCCAGACUCCAGCGGGAGGCAGCAGUGGGGAAUAUUGCACAAUGGGCGCAAGCCUGAUGCAGCGACGCCGCGUGAGGGAUGACGGCCUUCGGGUUGUAAACCUCUUUCAGCUAUGACGAAGCGCAAGUGACGGUAGUAGCAGAAGAAGGACCGGCCAACUACGUGCCAGCAGCCGCCGUAA